rnacentral:misc_RNA from 1 species
GAAAUGCGAUAAGUAAUGUGAAUUGCAGAAUUCCGUGAAUCAUCGAAUCUUUGAACGCACAUUGCGCCCUCUGGUAUUCCGGGGGGCAUGCCUGUCCGAGCGUCAUUGCGAACCCCUCAAGCACGGCUUGUGGGAUGGGCCCUCCCGCGUCUUGGUCGUCAAGACGGGCCCGAAAUGCAGUGGCGGCUUCGCGGUUAUCCGAUCAGCCAGAGCGUAUGGGGACUUUCUCUCUGUCACACGCCCGCGGCGCGGACCGACGCCUGUCGACCUUCAUUCAUCGUUUUCUCGGUUGACCUCGGAUCAGGUAGGGAUACCCGCUGAACUUAAGC